UGCCUAGUAAAAUAAAGGUCAAAUUUAAAUUUAAAAAAAAAAAUAAAUAAAGACAGCCACUGUGUUUGGUUUUUCUUGCAUGACAUACAGGUUGCUGAGGUAACUGAACGACAUAGAGGUUGCUGAGGUAACUGAACGACAGAGGUUGCUGAGGUAACUGAACGACAGAGGUUGCUGAGGUAACUGAACGACAGAGGUUGCUGAGGUAACUGAACGACAGAGGUUGCUGAGGUAACUGAACGACAGAGGUUGCUGAGGUAACUGAACGACAGAGGUUGCUGAGGUAACUGAACGACAGAGGUUGCUGAGGUAACUGAACGACAGAGGUUGCUGAGGUAACUGAACGACAUAGAGGUUGCUGAGGUAACUGAACGACAUAGAGGUUGCUGAGGUAACUGAACGACAUAGAGGUUGCUGAGGUAACUGAACGACAUAGAGGUUGCUGAGGUAACUGAACGACAUAGAGGUUGCUGAGGUAACUGAACGACAUAGAGUUUGCUGAGGUAACUGAACGACAUAGAGGUUGCUGAGGUAACUGAACGACAUAGAGGUUGCGGAGGUAACUGAACGACAUAGAGGUUGCUGAGGUAACUGAACGACAUACAGGUUGCUGAGGUAACUGAACGACAUAGAGUUUGCUGAGGUAACUGAACGACAGAGGUUGCUGAGGUAACUGAACGACAGAGUUUGCUGAGGUAACUGAACGACAUACAGGUUGCUGAGGUAACUGAACGACAUAGAGGUUGCUGAGGUAACUGAACGACAUAGAGGUUGCUGAGGUAACUGAACGACAUACAGGUUGCUGAGGUAACUGAAAGACAUACAGGUUGCUGAGGUAACUGAACGACAGGGGUUGCUGAGGUAACUGAAAAGUAGUCUCACAAGUCAGACAAUUUGUUUCCAAAAUAAAUGACUGGAAAUCAUAGCUUUGUGAAACUGGUCUACUGAGCAGACAGAGAGAGAAAAACAGAA